rnacentral:rRNA from 1 species
AACGAACGCUGGCGGCAUGCCUAACACAUGCAAGUCGAACGAGACCUUCGGGUCUAGUGGCGCACGGGUGCGUAACGCGUGGGAACCUGCCCUUAUGUUCGGAAUAACUCCCCGAAAGGGGUGCUAAUACCGGAUACUCCCUUCGGACCAAAGAUUUAUCGCCUUUGGAUGGGCCCGCGUUGGAUUAGCUAGUUGGUAGGGUAAAAGCCUACCAAGGCGACGAUCCAUAGCUGGUCUGAGAGGAUGAUCAGCCACACUGGGACUGAGACACGGCCCAGACUCCUACGGGAGGCAGCAGUGGGGAAUAUUGGACAAUGGGCGAAAGCCUGAUCCAGCAAUGCCGCGUGAGUGAUGAAGGCCUUAGGGUUGUAAAGCUCUUUUACCCGGGAUGAUAAUGACAGUACCGGGAGAAGAAGCUCCGGCUAACUCCGUG